GAGAGAGAGAGACCUCGGCCUAAACAUCAGCACCACAGUAUCCCUGGCAACAAGGACAGGGAUGCAGGAUUGAACCACCAUGCAAGACAACCAUUAAGGAUACUUGGUGGUUGGGGGAAACAGGACUGGAGACAUGAACAGGACUGGUAGUGGGUUCGCUUGUGGUGGAGACAGGGAAGACGGAGUCAAGGGAAGAGACGAGAGAGCCAAGCCUGGAGCUGACAGAUUUGUCCAGCAGCACAACAGACAAUGCUGACUCUAGAGAAUGUCUGAUUGCAGAGGAAGAAGAGGAUGGUGACAGCAAGAAAAGGAAGGACAUCACAGUGAAAACAUUUGGUAUCAGGACUCACAGUAAUGACAUCAGAGAUGAGGUCAGCGGAGAUUCCAAGAGCCAAUCAGUACAUGGUAGCAUUCUUUCAGUUUCUGUUGCUGUGUGUGUACAUGGUGCAGCCCCUGUCUCUAGCCUGGGCCUUCAUGGUGGGCAUAGAGACCAGCGUGUCACACAUUAUCAUCAUAGAUGACCACCAUUAGUGGGCUGCCUUCCGAACAAGAGAAAGAAAGAGAUCGAAUAAACCCCACUCCCCUCAAUUCCGCUAGCAAACAUGAAAUCUUUGUACAAUAAAAUGGACAAGUUAUUGGGAAGAAUAAACUACCAACGGGACAUUAGAAACUGUAACAUCUUGUGCUUCACAGAGUCGUGGCUGAACGACGACAAUAUCAACAUACAGCUGGCUGGCUAUACAAUGUACCGGCAGGAUAGAACAGCAG